rnacentral:rRNA from 1 species
UGGGGAAUUGUUCGCAAUGGGCGCAAGCCUGACGACGCAACGCCGCGUGGGGGAUGAAGGUCUUCGGAUCGUAAACCCCUGUCGAAUGGGACGAAUAGCCAUCGGAUUAAUACCCCGGUGGAAUGACGGUACCGUUCAAGGAAGCCACGGCUAACUCUGUGCCAGCAGCCGCGGUAAUACAGAGGUGGCAAGCGUUGUUCGGAAUUACUGGGCGUAAAGGGCGCGUAGGCGGCCAUCUAAGUCAGACGUGAAAUCCCCAGGCUCAACCUGGGAACUGCGUCUGAUACUGGGAGGCUAGAGUUUGGGAGAGGGAUGUAGAAUUCCAGGUGUAGCGGUGAAAUGCGUAGAUAUCUGGAGGAAUACCGGUGGCGAAGGCGGCAUCCUGGACCAAUACUGACGCUGAGGCGCGAAAGCUAGGGGAGCAAA